rnacentral:rRNA from 1 species
CCUACGGGUGGCUGCAGUAGGGAAUCUUCCGCAAUGGGCGAAAGCCUGACGGAGCAACGCCGCGUGAGUGAUGAAGGGUUUCGGCUCGUAAAACUCUGUUAUUAGGGAAGAACAAACGUGUAAGUAACUGUGCACGUCUUGACGGUACCUAAUCAGAAAGCCACGGCUAACUACGUGCCAGCAGCCGCGGUAAUACGUAGGUGGCAAGCGUUAUCCGGAAUUAUUGGGCGUAAAGCGCGCGUAGGCGGUUUCUUAAGUCUGAUGUGAAAGCCCACGGCUCAACCGUGGAGGGUCAUUGGAAACUGGGAAACUUGAGUGCAGAAGAGGAAAGUGGAAUUCCAUGUGUAGCGGUGAAAUGCGCAGAGAUAUGGAGGAACACCAGUGGCGAAGGCGACUUUCUGGUCUGUAACUGACGCUGAUGUGCGAAAGCGUGGGGAUCAAACAGGAUUAGAUACCCAAGUAGUC